rnacentral:rRNA from 1 species
AUUGAACGCUGGCGGCAGGCCUAACACAUGUAAGUCGAACGAGUGGCGGACGGGUGAGUAAUGUCUGGGAAACUGCCUGAUGGAGGGGGAUAACUACUGGAAACGGUAGCUAAUACCGCAUACCAUCAGAUGUUCCCAGAUGGGAUUAGCUAGUAGGUGGGGUAACGGCUCACCUAGGCGACGAUCCCUGGCUGGUCUGAGAGGAUGACCAGCCACACUGGAACUGAGACACGGUCCGGACUCCUACGGGAGGCAGCAGUGGGGAAGAUUGCACAAUGGGCGCAAGCCUGAUGCAGACAUGCCGCGUGUAUGAAGAAGGCCUUCGGGUUGUAAAGUACUUUCAGCGGGGAGGCGUUACCCGAAGAAGAAGCACCGGCUAACUCCGUGCCAGCAGCCGCGGUAAUAC